GGGGGUGAACUGGAUUCGACGGGGGUCAAGAGGCCAGUGGAGGCAUGCCGAGCGCUCCGCGACUCGUUAAAAUCGUGGAAACUUAAAAACAACUGCUGAAAAUCAGCUAGCACUGGCCGCUUAAAGCGGUCACGUCUCGCCGAUUCUGCCUGCGGAGCCGGAGUGAGACGUCACACAGCAGGCUGGGCAAGAACCCCGGGCUCUGGGGUUCGAGCCGAGAUCUCUUAGAGCCCGCGGUGCGCCGUCCUUGCCGGUUCGAACGGCUCGCUUGCGAAACCUAA
rnacentral:tmRNA from 1 species